GAGGGUAUAGCUCAGUGGUAGAGCACAUGCAUUAAUAUUCAUAAGUUCCUGGGUUCAAUCCCUAGUACCUCCA
rnacentral:tRNA from 1 species